UUUUCUAUUUUGCAAACAUUAGUAAUUUUUAAAAAGUCAUCUACUAUAUAAGAUCAACAAUUAUGAAAAGAAACACAAGCAUAAAAAUCUAACAAAGAAUAAUAUUCUCUAAAAGUUAGGUAAUAAAUAUUGUUGAGAUUAUAUGCGUAUGUGUCCAUAAACCCCACCUAUAUUAAUAACAUAUUUCUCAUUAUCUUCAUCUUUUUCUAAUGUCGAUUUUGUCCCUAUACUCUUUUCUCUCUUUACAUAUAUUUUUUGUUAUGUGUCACGUUCUGUCAGAAAAGUGGAGUUAUUUUCUCUUACUUCUCUCCUAGGCUUCUUUCAUCUUUUAUGUUUAAAUUUUUUUAUCUUCUCUCUUUUUUUCCUUUCAUUUCCCCUCACUUACGAAUUUAUCCAUUUUUUUUUUGCUUUUUUUCUAUUUCAAUAUCUAGUUAUUAUGUCAAGUUCUAGCAAUCUACAUCCAAUUCACUUUGAAUUUUUACCAUCUACUCCAUUUAUGGUUUUAAAUCUUCGUAAAGAUCCGAUAAUAUCGUUUUCAGAAGUGAUAAAAUAUUUUUUUAUUCUGAUUUCUCGGCACCAAAAACGUAAUUUUCUGCUCCAAUAUUUUAUACUUUUCAAUUCAUAUUUGGCUCUAAAUAAUUUUGUUGUGGUCCUCAUUGUUGUUUGUGUUCUACUAUUAAACAUAUAAGAUUUAUGUUACCACGUUAAACCAUAUAUGUAGAUGCGUGUGUGUGUAUAUGAUAUUGUUAUUGUUUACAUGCUAACUUGUUUUUAUAACAUGCUAAUUUCUUUUAUUUGAUUGUUAAUUUUAAAAUUAACUAGUUAAUUUCUGUUAACCGUUAAAUAGUGUGUUAGAUUGGUACAUAAUACUGAACUAUAUAAUCUAUUAUUAAGUUAUUGAUUUUUUAAGGUGUGAUAACAAAAUAUAACUCGAUAACAAAAUUUGUAACAUGUAAACAAAUAGUAUUCAAUGUUAACAAAAUGUGUAACAUCUUACAAAAUUUAUUAACUAGCUAACAGAAUGUGUAACAUGUUUGAUGGUCAAAUUCAUCGAUGAAAUUCAUCAUAAACCUAGAAAAUAGUGUUUAUUAGGUUUUCACUUUUUAUAAGCGUACUACAAGAGAUCUACAUUUUAUGUGGAAGAUGUGAUUCUUCAAAUAACUGACUUGAAUUUAGAAUGAAUGUGGUGAUUAAAUUAUUAUUAAGUGAGAAUUGUUUUUGAAAUUUAGAUGGAAAAAUGUUCAAAAAUGAGUAGUGAUUGCUCUAAAAAAAUGAAAAGAAAAAGAAUAGUGGUUGAAAAAAAAAGAUGCCAGAUGAAAAAUGAACUCCCUGUUACAAAUUGUGCAUAUAAAAAAACUGCCAAAGUAAAAAAAAUUGUUGUGUCAGUGUACUUGGUGAUGGAUGUGUUAGAGGAGAGGGCAAUUUGAGAAUUUCUUGUAACAAAGUGUAUGCUUCGAAUUGUUUAUUUCCCAUCAUGAGUACUUAGCUAAUUUAGGCUUCUAAUAGGG
rnacentral:lncRNA from 1 species